rnacentral:rRNA from 1 species
CCUGGCUUAGGAUGAACGCUAGCGACAGGCCUAACACAUGCAAGUCAGGGGCAGCACAAGGAGCAAUCUGAGGUGGCGACCGGCGCACGGGUGAGUAACACGUAUGCAACCUGCCUGUAAGCGGGGAAUAACCCGUUGAAAGACGGACUAAUACCGCAUAAUACUAAAUUACUGCAUGGUAAUUUAUUUAAACAUUUAUGGCUUACAGAUGGGCAUGCGCAUGAUUAGCUAGUUGGAGAGGUAACGGCUCCCCAAGGCAACGAUCAUUAGGGGUUCUGAGAGGAAGGUCCCCCACACUGGUACUGAGACACGGACCAGACUCCUACGGGAGGCAGCAGUGAGGAAUAUUGGUCAAUGGACGAGAGUCUGAACCAGCCAAGUCGCGUGCAGGAAGAAUGUCCCUAUGGAUUGUAAACUGCUUUUGCAGGGGAAUAAAGUGCAUCACGUGUGAUGUUUUGUAUGUACUCUGCGAAUAAGGAUCGGCUAACUCCGUGCCAGCAGCGGC